GGGGGUGUAGCUCAGAUGGGAGAGCACCUGCCUUGCAAGCAGGGGGUCAGCGGUUCGAUCCCGCUCAUCUCCACCA
rnacentral:tRNA from 1 species